UACGGGGGGGGCAAGCGUUGUUCGGAAUUACUGGGCGUAAAGGGCUCGUAGGCGGUGUGUCACGUCGGCCGUGAAAACCUGCAGCUUAACUGUGGGCGUGCGGUCGAUACGGGCAUCACUGGAGUUCGGCAGGGGAGACUGGAAUUCCUGGUGUAGCGGUGAAAUGCGCAGAUAUCAGGAGGAACACCGGUGGCGAAGGCGGGUCUCUGGGCCGAUACUGACGCUGAGGAGCGAAAGCGUGGGGAGCAAACAGG
rnacentral:rRNA from 1 species